CAAACUGAAAUUCUGUACUCAUUGUGCAAUGGCUCCUGAUCCCCCACUCCCACACUCUAAGCUCCAGUAAUCAACAUUCUGGCUCUGUGUCUACUAAUUUAACUAUUCCAAGUAUCUCACAGGUGAAAAUAAAGAAAAUGAAACUGGGAAAAUGCACUUGCUAUUGCCCCAACAUCACAUUUUCCCGGGAGACAGUCAAAAUUGGAGGGAAGAGCACAGGGAACUAUGGUAAUUGGUCACAGUUGCUAUGGUGGCAGGAGAGCUAUGGAGACUACACCUGAGGGGAGAAAUCAAAUAUUGUAUGAAAAUGAUCUACAAUGUCAGAAAAUAAAUUAAUUUUAAAAUAAAAGGUUUGUUAUACAACAGUGCUCAAGAGAAGCUCAAGACACGACAUACAAAAACCUGACACCUGAAUCACGACAAGCUUCUAUUUCUGAUUCUCCAAUUUCCUGACCUUUGGCAUCUGAACUCUUUAUGAUUUUACCCUUUCCCUAUGAAAAGCAAGAAAAAGCCAGCUAACUUACACAAUGGACUUGACUGGUAAAAUAAAGAUAUAUAUGAUCCAUUUAGUGCA